AUUGAACGCUGGCGGCAGGCCUAACACAUGCAAGUCGAACGAGUGGCGGACGGGUGAGUAAUGUCUGGGAAACUGCCCGAUGGAGGGGGAUAACUACUGGAAACGGUAGCUAAUACCGCAUACCAUCGGAUGUGCCCAGAUGGGAUUAGCUAGUAGGUGGGGUAACGGCUCACCUAGGCGACGAUCCCGAGCUGGUCUGAGAGGAUGACCAGCCACACUGGACCUGAGACACGGUCCAGCCUCCUUCGGGAGGCAGCAGUGGGGAAUAUUGCCCAAUGGGCGCAAGCCGGAUGCAGCGAUGCCGCGGGGAUGAAGAAGGCCUUCGGUUUGUAAGGUACUUUCAGCGAGGAGGCGUUACUCGCAGAAGAAGCACCGGCUAACUCCGUGCCAGCAGCCGCGGUAAUAC
rnacentral:rRNA from 1 species